GGCUAAAGCAUUGCCUGUUAAAUUUGA
rnacentral:piRNA from 1 species